UUUUAUUCCUAGUGAUGUUGUAUUAUUUUUAUCUGUACAGAAUCAAUAAAGCCUUUUGUAACCCUCGAAAGAAGAUUUCUUGAUUCAUGUGUGACAUCCACAAAUCAGGUAUAUAUGAGAUGAUCAUUUUGCUUUUCGGGUUUGCAUUUGUUGUUGGUCUCCCAGUUCUUGAUCCUUGCAAACUAUACGGUAUCUCUAAAGAUGAAUUCGUGGUGUAAUGGUAUCAUAACUGACUCUAGUCAGAAGAUGCGUGUUCGAUUCACUUGGCGACGGCGACGGACUGGCGGCAGCGGCGGACUAGCAGCGGACUAGCAGCGGU